rnacentral:tRNA from 1 species
GCCCCGGUGGCUCAGCCUGGUAGAGCGGCGGCCUCGUAAGCCGCAGGUCGCGGGUUCGAAACCCGCCCGGGGCU